CCCUAUUAUUUUAGAACGUUAAUUUUUGUUUGUCUGAGUAGUAUUAGUUAUGUUCUUGAAACUUAAAGAAUUUGGCGGUAUCUUAUUCCAUCCAGAGGAAUCUGUCUCGUUAUCGAUAGUCCACGUUGGACCUUACUUAGAUUGCUAUAGGUUUGUAUACCGCCGUUUAUUGAUUAUCUUUUUAGAGUAGUUUUAAUUUUCUAGUUUCUUUAUUUUGAUUUAUUUCAGGUCAAGGUGCAGCUUGUUUCUAAGUGAAUGAUGGAUUACAUUGUUAUUUGUUUUAAAUUGGAUUGUUAAUUUGAAUGUUAAUAUGAAAUUGGAUUUGGUUGUAAUGUUUUGUAGAUUGUUUACAUGGUAUUUGGUUCUGGGAUAUGUACACAUCGCCCGUCGCUCUCGUUUGUUUUAAUGAGAUAAGUC
rnacentral:rRNA from 1 species